GUUUAUAGGGCCAGAGAUAUAGCUCAGUGGCUCUGCCUUCAACACACAAGGUCCUGAGUUUGAUCCCUGGUUUAAAAAAAAAAAGGUAGUUUAUAAUUAAAUAUAGUAUGGUAUAUUUACUGCUUGAAAUAACAGCCCUUAAAAAUUAGGAAAGUAAAUAAAAUUUAAAAGAAAGUCUACGUUCCUCAAAAACUCGAGAAUACUUUCUUUUCCUUUUUGUUUUUUUGUGACAGGGCCUUGCUCUGCAGCCCAGGGUGAUCUUGAAUUUGUGAUUCUCCUGUCUCAGCCUCCCAAGUGCUUCAAUUACAAGCAUGGACCAUCAUGCCCAACACUAUAUUUAAAGUCAAGAUUUUCUUCUUUGAGCCUGUCACCUCAAGAUCACAACAGGGCCGCCGCUUCUCAGGCACAACAUUUUCAUAAAGGCACAGGAGAAGAUCUCAAAUACAGAAAAGGCAAUGUCGCUAAAGUUCUAAUUCAAACUUUCACAUUACUUAUAAGGUGAGUUAUAAAUUAUUGCCCAGAAGUAGUAAAUGCUGAUCUUUUAAAUAUGCAAAA
rnacentral:lncRNA from 1 species